rnacentral:rRNA from 1 species
UAGUCCACGCCCUAAACGAUGAAUGUUAGUCGUCGGGUAGCUAGUCUAUUCGGUGAUGCAGCUAACGCAUUAAACAUUCCGCCUGGGGAGUACGGACGCAAGUGUGAAACUCAAAGGAAUUGACGGGGACCCGCACAAGUAGCGGAGCAUGUGGUUUAAUUCGAAGCAACGCGAAGAACCUUACCAGGUCUUGACAUACAGAUGACCGUCUCUUAACCGAGAUUUUCCCUUCGGGGACAUCUGAUACAGGUGGUGCAUGGUUGUCGUCAGCUCGUGUCGUGAGAUGUUGGGUUAAGUCCCGCAACGAGCGCAACCCUUAUGUUUAGUUGCCAUCAUUAAGUUGGGCACUCUAAACAGACUGCCGGGGAUAACUCGGAGGAAGGUGGGGAUGACGUCAAAUCGUCAUGCCCCUUAUGAUCUGGGCUACACACGUGCUACAAUGGUCGGUACAACGGGCAGCGAAGGAGCGAUCCGGAGCAAAUCCUAAAAAGCCGAAUCCCAGUUCGGAUUGCAGG